AGCAAUAUGAAGGUCAGGCUGAAGACCUUACCGGAUUAGCUGAGAGGUGGUGCAUGGCCGUCGUCAGUUCGUACUGUGAAGCAUCCUGUUAAGUCAGGCAACGAGCGAGACCCACGUCCACAGUUGCCAGCAUACCCUCCGGGGUGAUGGGUACACUGUGGAGACCGCCGCUGCUAAAGCGGAGGAAGGAAUGGGCAACGGUAGGUCAGUAUGCCCCGAAUCUCCCGGGCUACACGCGGGCUACAAUGGUUGGUACCAAUGGGGCAUCUACCCCGAAAGGGGAAGGAAAUCUCUUAAAGCCAAUCGUAGUUCGGAUUGAGGGCUGCAACUCGCCCUCAUGAAGCUGGAAUCCGUAGUAAUCGCGUUUCAACAGAACGCGGUGAAUACGUCCCUGCUCCUU
rnacentral:rRNA from 1 species